rnacentral:rRNA from 1 species
GACGGAGGGUGCAAGCGUUGUUCGGAAUUACUGGGCGUAAAGCGCGGGCAGGUGGCUCUUUAAGUCCUUUGUGAAAUUCCGGAGCUCAACUCCGGAUGUGCAUAGGAUACUGGAGAGCUGGAGACUGGUAGAGGCGAGCGGAAUUCCUGGUGUAGCGGUGGAAUGCGUAGAUAUCUGGAGGAACACCGGUGGCGAAGGCGACAUCCUGGACCGGUAUUGACGCUGAGGCGCGAAAGCCAGGGGAGCAAACGGG